AUGCCAUGGUGUGGACACUACCUCCUCAUCUCUUUAAAUCUCUCCCAAGCCUCAGUCAAAGAUUCAGUUUCCAGUUGCUUAAAAUUUUGAAUUGCUCUCCUCAUCAU
rfam:Ipomoea nil DNA, scaffold: scaffold1416, cultivar: Tokyo-kokei standard.